CCGACCGGCGCACGGGUGAGUAACACGUAUGCAACCUGGCCGUCACAGGUGGAUAACCGGAAGAAAUUCCGACUAAUACAGCAUAACACUCCUGAGGGACAUCCUUCGGGAGUCAAAGGAGGCAACUCCGGUGACGGAUGGGCAUGCGGCGCAUUAGGUAGUUGGUAGGGUAACGGCCUACCAAGCCGACGAUGCGUAGGGGUUCUGAGAGGAAGGUCCCCCACAUUGGAACUGAGACACGGUCCAAACUCCUACGGAAGGCAGCAG
rnacentral:rRNA from 1 species